rnacentral:lncRNA from 1 species
AAUGAAUUAUCACUCAACUAUUCCUUAUGAAAUGCAGGUACAGAUAGAUGAGGAGAGGAAGACCCCCAUUAAACCGAGCAGUCUGGGAGGGUUUGCUUCGAGAGGAUGUUGACUGGCUAUUUAAAAUACUAGAGAGACUCAUUACUGCCCAGUAGGCCCGGAAGGAAAGGAGUGAGCUACCUAACCCUCCCUCGUUGCCACAGGUUGAGCCACCCCUGCAACGAGAGG